AUUAAUUAGUGAUUUGAUUUUCUUUUUAUUCCGAUCGAUAAUUUAUCAGCGUGCUUUCUCAGUCAUCUCCUCAUUCUGCCUGAUCCCGUCCAUCGUAACCGCUUUCUUUUGGGUGUGGCGCUCGGAUGCAAGCUCGUUCUCUCCAGUCUUCACCAUCCUCUCUCGUCUUCACCGGUCCACGCGACUCCUCCUCCCAUUCUCUCGCCUCAUAUUCUCAUUUACACGAACCCGAGUGCGGCGAGGCUCAGUCCUUCAAAGACGACCGAGCCGAACUCUGAAGACGGCCUUUCUUCUCGUUCGAGUGCGGCGACCUCCAAAGACUACUACUCAGACCUUCGAGUGCGGCGAGGCUUAGAAGGCUUUCUCUACCCCCUUUCUUCUCGUUAUUCCUCCGAAGACACCUUCGAAGACCAAACUAAAAGCACCUCCGAAGCCCAAAGGAGCAGACGACCUCUGAAGACGAAGGGGCACUAAGCGACCUCCGAAAUUCGUAGACCUCAAUUUGGAAGACAACCUUUGAAUACAAAACAACCAGAGUACGAUCUCCGAAGACCACAAAAUUUCAUCAGGUCUAUGGAUCACAUAUUUCCUUCAUUAUUCAGUUUGUGGUAUGUAUCUUCACACGAACUAUUCAAAUUCAGUUAUGGUGCUGUGAGCAUGAAGAAAACCGAGGAAGAAAACACUUAAGCACUAGGCCACCACUAUUUCCCUUUCUAUGUCAAAUUUCUGGUACUCUUCAUUAAACUUCUCCAUUCCCCCUUUUCAUUUCCCUGCACCAAUUUAAGUCAGGAUUGAGGAUGAUUUUUUGGGGUUCUUGAUGCUAGCAAUUUUGAGCUUGAGACAUGUUUAGAUUGAAGCAAGUGGAGGUUGUUUGUAGCUUUUUUGGUCAAGGUCAUCUCUUCCUCUUAGAACUUCUGGUUUGUUCGUUUAUAAUUUUUUGGGUUUGUUUGGAUAUGAAAUUGAUUCUAUUUAAGAGGUUAUUGGGACUAAAUGAUGAAAGUUUUGUUGUUAGGAAAUAAGGUUUUCAGAAUGCGGAUUUGUAUAUUUACUUUGGCAGGAAAUUUUGGUGAAUUAGUAUGAUAAAAUUUUAUGUAACAUGUUCAUGCACAUGCAAUUUAUUUACGACUUGGAGUGUAUUAGGAUUUAAACUGAUGAGGAUGUUAAAUCCAUGGACGAAGGAGAAUAUGGUUUUUGGAAAUAUUUUCUUUUAAUCCUCAUGUGUGCUAUUGUUUUAAUAUUUUCAGAAAACUUGAACUGUGAGUUUUGAUGUUGAUUGUAGCCAUAUUUCAAGCUAAACUUUAUUUUAAAAAUUUAUUUGCAAAGCUGAUACUAUUUAUUUAUACAUGAGAUGCACAUCUCGUAAGUCGUAAGCUUUGAGGCUGAAGGAUUUUGGAGAUAUUUAUAUGUGAAUUAUUGAUGAGUUUUUCGUUGUUUCAUGGACGGAUAAAUGAUAAAGUAAUAUAUUUUUCAAAAGUGAUGGUACACGUGUGCAUGCACAACGAUUAGAUGCAUGUUCAUAUUUUAAUUUGCUAGAUUAUUAUGCAGGAUUGGUUAACUGGUGUGAUGAAUUAAAUGUAAUUUAAGUAACAAGCUGUCUUUUCUUUUAUGCUAUUGCUUAGAAUCAAAUCGAGGUUAAUAUAUGAAUAUAAACUGUGAGUGUGGUAUGCUCAGUUUGUUACUAAGCUACACACAGCCUUUUCCGUUCUUCUGUAAUUUCGUGUCAUUAAUAAGCUAAUAUGUUUCAUAGUUUUGAUUCAGAGGCAAUGAAACUUACGUUUUGAGAUCAUAUCUUCUCACUCACAUGCUUCUAACUUUUCUGUCUUUCGUUUUUUUUUUUUAAUAUAUGAAGGUGGGGCGGUGAAUGAGAUUCCUAUUGUAAGAAAAUCUGGUUCUGCUCUAACUGGGCAGAAAACUUGUUUGCACCUACGUCCAGUGAAGAUUGAGCUUUCAAAAUGGCACAUUUUUUUCCGGCUGGUGAUGUUCUUGGCAAUAGCUUACAGCUCUAUGGAUCACGCAUUUCAUUCAUUAUUCAGUUUGUGGUGUGUAUCUUCACACGAACUAUUCAAAUUGCAUUAUGGUGAUGUGACUGAGGUGGAUGUGAAAUGCUAUUUGCCUCACAAAAUCUAAUGCAAAAAUGGUUCUUGAGUGGCAUGAAGGGAGGACUCACCUUACCUAACAAAUAGCAUCAAUCAAGGUUUUGGGUAAGUCUAUGAAUUGGUGAGGGUGAUUCUUAUGACAUGAAAUGAACAACGGAGUAGUGAAUAAACUGAUUAUUCCUACUCAAGGAAAUUCUCACAAACUAUCAUGUGGUCCAUUGUAAUUCUUGGAUUGUUUAUACACCAUCAAUCACUCUGCCAUAUUAUAUUAGUAAAUUUUCAGUAGUUUUAUUGGAGUCUUAGACAUUGUCCUUGCAUCUUUACAUUGUUCUUUAGAUUGGGUGAUUGAUGUUGUGUAGAGUGAAUGUGAUUCAUUAUUAGCUACUUGAGUGGCUUAAAAGGAGAUUCUGCCUAAGACAAGAAAAUGGCAUUGAUUAAGGCUUUGAUGAAGUUUGUGGUUUGGUGAGGGUGAUUUUUAUGACAUUAUGAAAUGAAAAACGAAGUAGUGGAUAAACUUACUAUUCCUAGGGAGAUCUCGCCUAAGCUUAAAAAGUGGUAUUGAUUAAGGUUUUGAUUAAAUCUGUGGUUUGGUAAGGGUGAUUCUUAUGACAUGAAGAAAUGAACAACGAAGUAGUGGAUAAAUCGAUUAUUCCUACUCAAUGGAAUUCUCAAAUUAUCAGGUGGUCUAUUGUAAUUCUUGAAUUGGUUAUACACUAUCGAUCUUUGUAUGUACCUUGAUUGUCAUUUCCACAAAUGUCAAGAGAUCUCAUCCUUUCCUAUCCAUGCUAUGUGUCACUAUCUUUAUUAGGAUGCUAUGGUUUAAGACUGGGUGGAUUCACCUUUAGUGCUCACAGUCUUCUCAUUUGGCCUUAUUAAAAUAGUAAAUUUUCAAUAAUUUUAGUGGAGUCUUACACAUUGUCCUCGCAUAUCUACAUUUUUGUUUUAGAUUGAGUGAUGGAUGUUGUGUGUGGAGUGAGUGUGAAUUAGUAUUAGCAACUUGAGUGGCAUGAAGGGGGACCCCGCCUAAUCUAAAAAAUGGCAUCAAUUAAGGUUUUGAUUAUGUCUGUGGUUUGGUAAGGGUAAUUCUUAUGACAAAGAAAUGAACAACGAAGUAGUGGAUAAAUGGAAUUAUCACAAAUUAUUUAGCGGUCUAUUGCAAUUUUUAGGUUGCUUAUGCACUAUAGAUUUAUGUGUGUUCAUUGAUUGUCAUUUACAUAAAUGUUAAGAGACGUUCUCCUCUCCUAUAUAUGUAGUGCAUCACUACCUUUAUUUAUUUAUUUAUUUAUUUUUUUGAAUGAGAAAGGCAAGCCUGGGGCUUGAAAAGAUUACACAAAGAGAACCUGGAUAACCCUUAAACUGUUCUCAUGUAAAAAUACAUUACAAUUAGCAGGAAAAUCAGUAAUAAUAGUUAUCCAAUCUGCUAGCUCCAUGAUUGUCUCCUACAAUAAGGUCUGUUCAUUUAGCAAACUUAUACACAUGAUGAAUGUUAACCUCCAUAAUACCUUGUAAAAGGUUGAUCGUGGAAUUCAUUUUUGCCCUUUAAGGACCACUCUUGGUUUUAGAUUCCAUCUGGUGGUCGAGGCCCAGGGAGAAGAUGUUUUGAGGAGGGUGUGAUAGAGAUGGACAUAUCAGAAGGCAUCGACUGGGGCAGAGGCACAAGAGGCGGAAAUUCCUUCUUAUCCACGAUUAGCUUGCACUUAGUGUGGGCUAAAGAGCCACUUACCACUACAUGGGUUCUCUGGGCCAUAAUUCUUUUGUCUUAUUUGACUUUAUUUCCUAUGGAUUUGAAUCCGUUUUCUAGCCCAUUAUUGGCUGAACUUGUAGGAGGAACUUUGUCAAUCAAGCCUGAUGGUUAGGUGUUAUAGUUUCCUUACCCUUUGCUACACAAAUCCUUUUCCCACUAUUCGGGUCCUUUCUACGAGACUUAUCCCUUUAUCCUAUCUUAGAGACAGCUUUUUUUUGAGCCUCCUUUUUCUUAACAUACAUCGCCAGAGAUUUAUCCGUAAUGUCAGAAGUAGACCUUCCCACAUUUGUGUCAAGGUUAGGUUGACUUAGGUUAUCAUAAUCAUCCUUUAAGCCUGUAAGGGCUGCAUAACUUGAAGAAAUCCAAUUGUCAUCAACUUUUUCCCCUUGAGCCGUGUUUUUUCCCCUAAAAUUUGAUAAGAACUCAGAAUGAUAAGGAAAGCAAAUAAAUCUAUUAAAUAAAUUAGAGCAAGAAUCUCACUCUAGAAAUAUUUAAUAGCCAGAGUAGGAGAAUCUCUAAGGGAAAUAGUAUUUUAUUUUCUGAAUGUCUAGCUAUGAUGAAAGCAACCUCAUUUAUAAUGCAGGAAUUACACCAAAAUAAUAAAUUAAUAAUAAGAAAAUAUCCCAACAUAUUCGAGAUAAUAACUGACUCAAAUAGAAAUUGACUUAAACAGACAUGGGUGAACCACAUAUCAAAAGUUGAUCCACUUAUUUUGCCAGCUAACUGAAAAUAAAAUAAUUAAAUUAAAAUCAAUUUAAUUCUGCAUAACUGACUCUAACUUCUUCCCCUUUCUUCUCUGAUAAGUCAAUAGUAGACGUUCAUGUUGACGCAGCAUGCUAUCAGUACCCCCUCCUGAAAAAUAGACUUGUCCUCAAGUUGAAAAGUAGGGAAUUGAAUGGCUAUUAAAUCAUAGUCUUCCUAGCUUGUAUCUUUAAGUAGACGGUGAUCCCAUUGAAUUAAAAUUUCCAAAAUACCUCCUGGUGUCCAGCGAUGAUUCAGUACCUUUAAGGGAGUAAGGAGGAGCUCCAAAUUUUCUAAAAGAGGUAAAGGUGCUGGUGGUGAAGAUGGUUGCUGCCCUUGAGCAGGCCGAAGUAGGGAGACAUGAAAAAUAGGGUGCACCUUAGACUCAAGAGGCAAGUCAAGCUCAUAAGCAACUGUUCCCAUGCGCCUCACAACUGUCUAAGGUCCAAAAAACCAGGGGGACAAUUUUUCAUUCUUACACCUAGCUAAGGACUUUUGGCGAUAAGGUUGAAGACGUAGAAAAACUGCAUCCCUUGGUUGAAAUUGAAGGUCCCGCCUAUGUUGAUUUGCUUGUGCUUUCAUCCUAUCUUGUGCUUUCUUUAAGUUAUCACAUAGUAGUUUGAGCAUGGCGUCACACAGCUCCAGUUGCUCCUUUAAAUCUGCAACUAAUGUUUCUCCCUUUAAUAAGGGCAUAAAGGAGGAGGAUCACGCCCAUAAACUAAUUUAAAGGGAGUAGUGUUUGUUGAAGAGUGAAAGCUGGUGUUAAAUGAGAAUUCAGCGCAGCAGAGAAAUUUACUCCAUAAUUUAGGUUGCUCAUGAGCAAAGCAUUAUAAAUAGGUCUGCAAACAGUGAUUUACUACCUCGAUUUGGCCAUCGAAUUGUGGGUGAUAUGCUGUACUCACGUUUAAUCGUGUAUGCCUCAAAUAGAAGAGUUCUUGCCAAAAAGCACUUAGAAAAAUGGAGUCACAAUCUGAAAUGAUUGACCGAGGAAUACCAUGCAAACGUAUAAUCUCUUGACAAAAUAAACUAGCCAUAGUUUUUGCAGAAUAAGGGUGUGACAAAGCAAUGAAAUGGCUGUAUUUACUGAGCUGAUCAACUAUCGCCAAGAUAACAUCAAAAUCUCUAGACUUUGGGAGCCCUGUGAUAAAGUCAAGAGAUACGUCCUCCCAAAUUUGCUCCGGAAUAGGGAGUGGGUUAAGGAGUCUAGCAGGAGAAAGAGUUUCAUAUUUAUGUUGUUGACAAAUUAAACAUCUUUAUAUAAAAUGUUUAACAUCUGUUUUCAUACCUCGCAAAUGCACACUUGAUCCUAAUCGCUUCAAGGUCCUUAGGAACCCUCUAUGACGACCUGUUGGCGUCGCAUGAGCUUCUUCCAAGAAUUUAGCUCGUAAUUGAGCAACAUUUGGAACUAAAAGUUGUCCCUUGAAAUAUAAUAUGCCUUCCACCAAGCUAUAAUCUGGGUGAGAAUGUGGAUUUGUUUGUAAUGCAUCCAUAAUAGCUUUGGUUCCAGAGUCUGUCAUUAAUGCUGCAGGAAGUUGCUACAAGGCAUCUGCUAAAGGGAUGACAAUCUGGAAAAAAAUCAGCAUGUUGAGGCCUUCGUGAUAGUGAAUCAGUUGCUGUAUUGUCCUUUCCUGCUUUGUAUAUGAUGGUAAAAUUGAAAGGAAGAAGCUUUAGCAUCAUUCACUGUUGGGAAUUGGUGAGGGUGUGCUGUUCCAAGAGGCACUUAAGGUUGCAGUGAUCAGUUUGGACAUAGAAAUGGCGACCAAGUAGGUAAUGGUGCCAUUUUUGAAUCGCAAGCACUAGAGCCAACAGCUCCCUAUCAUAUAUGGACUUAUACCUGUUGGAAAAAGAGAAUCCCUUGUUGAAAUAAGAUAUUGCAUGUCCUUCUUGAACUGGGAUAGCACCGAUACCCUCCAUUAAAGCAUCACACUGAAUCGUGAAAGGAAGAUGAAACUUUGGUAGUUGCAGCACCGGUGUGGUGGUCAUUACUAAUUUUAAUGCCUCAAAAGCUUUUUGUGCCUGUUCAGACCAAUAAAAAGAAUUUUUCUGGGUUAGUUUAGUCAAGGGUCUAGCAAUAAUACCAUAGUUUUUGACAAAACACCUGUAAUAACCAGUGAGCCUUAAGAACCCACGGAGUUCUUUUACAGAUUUAGGAGCGGGCCAUUGCACCACUGUAGUUUAUUUGAUCAGAAUCCACUUUAACCCCUUAGGCAAAAACCAUAUAGCCCAAGUAGCUAAUUUGAGUCUGGCCUUACGAGCAUUUUUUGGCAUUGGCAAAGAAGGAUUGCUUUUGUAGAAUCUAGAAUACUGCUCUCAGAUGCUGUAAAUGUUGUUGUGGGGAAGCACUAUAAACUAAGAUGUCAUCGAAAAAUACUAGCACAAAUUUUCGUAAAUAAGGCCUAAAUAAGUCAUUCAUAAUAUACAGGAAGGUAGCCAGUUCGUUAGUUAAACCAAAUGACAUAACUAAGAAUUCGUAGUGGCCUGAGUGAGUGCAAAAAGCUGUUUUAUGUACAUUCUUUGGUAGAACAGGGAUUUGAUGAUAUCCAGACUGUAAAUUGAUUUUUGAAAAGUAGACAGCCCCAUGCUACUCAUCUAAAAGUUUAUCGAUAUUGGGAAUGGGGUACUUAUUUGGUAUGGUAAUUUGAUCAAGAUGCUGGUGGUCAAUGCAGAGGCGCCAAGAACCAUCCUUUUUACCAACUAGUAGCACAAGACUGGCAAAUGGACUGGUGCUAGGUCGUAUGAAUCCACAUUAUAGCAAGCUCUCAAUUUGAGCUUCAAUCUCAUCCUUCUGGUAAUGAGGGUAAUGAUAUGGCCGUAGAUUAGUAGGUGUAGCAUUUAGGAAUAGCUUGAUGGCAUGGUAAUGAUCUUAGGGUGGUGGCAAGCACCCUGGCUCAGAAAAGACAUAAGCAAAAUCAUAAAAAUUUUUGUCAAUAUUCAAGUGUCCUGAUGCAUCCCUUUCACUUAAUUCCUGAGUAAGAAGCAUGUUAUGGAGAUGGAUAGAAGCAUCACUGUUAGUAGGUAGGCCUUGCAGCUUAUAUUUCUUCCCAUUUAGCCAAAAAAUCAUACAUAUUUUGUUCCUGUUAGCUUGCACAGUGUUCAAUAAAGCCAACCAUUUAAUACCCAGUACCAAAUCAGAACCACCUAAGGAGAAAGGGUAGGAAUCUUGCUGAAUAGUUAAAUUAGAAAUUGUUACCUCAAUCUUUGAGCAAACUUGAUGGCAUUUCACUUUGCUACCAUUACCAAUUUGAGCUUUAAAAGUUGGAACAGUUUGUACGGGGAGUUGCAAUUCGAAUACCACUGUGUUUGAGAUGAAAUUGUGUGUGGAGCCGCUAUCAACUAAAAUCAGAACAGUACGACCCUUGAGCAUGCCUUGAAGUUUCAUUGUGGCUGCCGAAUGCUGUCCUAGAAUCGCAUUAAAUGAGAUUUUGGCCUCCUCUGGCUCCAUUUCUAUCUUGGCUUCUUCGUGUAGGGGAGGUAGAAUUUCUUCACCUUCUUUAAAAAUUUCCAGCAAAGAAAAAGAAGUAUUGCAGCGAUGCCCAAGUCAGAAGAUAGCCCCACACUGGAAGCACAGACCCUUAUCUCGCUAGUUUUGACGUUUUGCAUCUUCGGGAGAGAUUCUUGCAGCUGUUGAGGAGUAUAUAGGCGUGAUUGAGGCUGAAGAAGCUGGUUUAAAGGGAUACGUAGAUGAAGCCAGUGAAUUGGAGUCUCUGGAAUUGUGGAAAUCAUGUGCAAAUUGGGACUGAUUUAGGCGAUUUUGAGUGUAUGAGGAAUUGGGCCUGGGUCCACGCUCAUUUUGGGCCUUUCUCUCAAAUUUUAGGGCCAAACUUGCAGCUUUAAACACUAUUCUACGUUUCUGAAUGCAUACAUCAGUUUUUAAUUCUUCCUUGAGGCCACCCAUAAAAAUACCCAAGAGGCAGUGCUCUGGCCAAGUGCGAACUCGUGCUACCCACUUAGUAAAUUCUUGACGGUAUUCCUGUACUGAUUUGGUUUGCUUAAUGGUCGCAAGGUGUUCAUCUAGAUUUUGAUAUUUAGGAGGCCUAUAAUGCUCUUUUAGUGCCUUGACCAACUCAUCCUAGUACAACAAGGUGCGUUUUAAAUUUACCUAUGAGAAUAAAUCUAAAGCAUCUCCUUCUAGACUCAUUAAAGCAACAUCUACUUUCAAUCUUCUGGUGUUUGAUAAUACUGAAAAAAAAAAUUCAGCCGUCAAAUUCCAUCCUUGGGGUUCUCCUCCACUAAAGUUUGGAAAUUUAAUUUUUGUAUAUAGUGGAUGUGGGCCCCUUUGGUCAUAGUCAUCUUCACCAUCAUCUUCCCAGUGUGAGAGCCUAUAGUGGCUCUCUAUGGUUCAUUUGCCUUUACUUGUCGCAGAAGCCUCAAGGGCCUCUAUCUUCUCUUUUAAUAAAUCAAGUGUCUCUAAUUUGGAAGCAAUUGCUGUUAAUGGGUCUUCUGAAAAUGGAUUGACUACAGAUUCAUUGCAUGGGAGGUUAUUGGAGGAAGUGGCAUUGGGAUCGAUGGUUUUGUUAAUGGAAUGUGUGGUCAUCAUGUUGAUCGAACGUGGCUCGGAUACCAAAUUGAUAAGAACUCAAAAUGAUAAGGAAAGCAAAUAAAUCUAUUAAAUAAAUUAUAGCAAGAAUCUCACUCUAAAUAUUUAAUAGCCAGAAUAGGAGAAUCUUCAAGGGAAAUAGUAUUUUAUUUUUUGAAUGCCUAGCUAUGAUGAAAGCUAGCCCAUUUAUAAUGUAGGAAUUACACCAAAAUAAUAAAUUAAUAAUAAGAAAAUAUCCCAACAUAUCUAGGAUAAUAACUGACUCAAACAAAAAUUGACUCAAACAAACUUAACAUGGGUGAACCAUAUAUCAAAAAUGGAUCCACUUAUUUAGCCAACUAAUUGAAAAUGAAAUAAUUAAAUUAAAAUCAAUUUAAUUCUGCUUAACUGACUCUAACUUCUUCCACUUUCUUCUUUGAUAAGUCAAUGGUGGACGUCUAUGUUGACACAGUAUGCUAUCAAUCUUACCUACCCUUAUAGCAUUUUUGAUGCACGAAACGAAGAUGAGUAGGCUCCGGCAGAAACAUCUAAGUCCUGAAUAUUUCCUCUGCUUUAGGUAGCUUACUCGAUGGUAACAAGCAGGGUGGCGGAAUGGCAGUAGUUGGGGUCAAAGCUUGAGAAGAUGACGCGCCUGAUAUCUAUAGACACGCUUCCUUUCAAUGUCCAUAUCUACCAUAUUAGACCAAGUCCGUCAUUUUCCACGUUGAAGAGUGUAAAAGCCAAGAUAAUUAGAGGCACCGAUUUCUUUUGCAAGUUGAGCUCGACACAGAUCCCAGCAUAUCUCCCUCAUUCAACUUUAGCUCUUGAGGCAUCCGCAUCUAUAAUGGUAUUCAUAUCAACUUUGAUAGUUUGAUUGAUCAUGUCACCCAAUCUCCAUAUGAAGCUCUUAAUGUGAUGCUUGGGAAUGUUAGGAAUGCGAACCUAGGUGGCGAUUCUUCCCAAAGAAUUAUGAAAAGGAUCAAAAUAUGGUGUCCAUUGUUGAACAAGCACACAAUGCUGUGUAAUAAAUCAAGGUCCUUUAAAUAAGACUUUUUUAUAGUGAACUACCCAAUUGGUCUCAUCAGUGAAACGAAUGACAUAGUAGUUGUUAGGAAGGUCAAUAAGCUCGAAUUCAUUCAGGUGCUAGAUUCUGCUCAAACACUCCUUGAGCUUUAGCAGAAUGAAGCAUGCUUCGAGAAUAGUGAUAACCAAUUUGUUAUUCCAGGGCCUGCACUAGUCAUUAAACUCAUUGUGAGAGACGGGGACGACGGGAUAAAUACUCCUAAGCUUUUUUUAUUUCCUCUGAAGGUUCAGGUAGUUCCCAUAUUUGGUCAAGCAAGUCUGAGAUCAGAGGAUCGUCUUCCAUGACGGAACUUCCAUAAGCAAUGCCAUUAUAAUCGGUUCCUUUAAAUCCUAAAAGAGAUUCCUUGUAUGAAAACUGCUUGUGAUUGAUAAUAGGACCCUGCUUUUCUUUAGAUGGUUGUUCCAUAUCAACACAAGUUUCUGCAUCUUCCAUUUUAUCGAACAUGAUAGUGUCUUCCUUGACCUCCUUAUUUUUCUUAACACGAUCAUUAGGAGAGAGCUGUUCUGAAGGCAUGUCCAGCGGCAUUUUCCGGUUGCAUGUUUCUUCCAUUGAACUCUCAAAGAUUGAGAGAGAGAGAGAGAGAGUGUGUUUAUGAGGCAAGAAUCACUGUAGCUAGCAGCUGAGAAAAGCUCAUCACUACCUUUAUUAGGUUGCUAUCAUUUAAUAUCAGGAAGUUAGGAUAAGUUCCAUGGUAAAAAUGUACAUGGCUGCAGCCUCGCAAGAGCCAGAAGAACUUAUGGUCAUCAUUGCAAAAGGAGUUAUUUGUGAAGAUAUACUUGUAUACUGAUAUUUUUUAUUUGUUCUUUCUUUUGUUGCGUCACAAAUAUGUGCAAUAACACAUGUAUGCAUAUGCCGAUGGUAUGUAAAAGCUAAACUGAUAACAAUCCUGAAUUAUUGGAUGCCUUCACCAAUUUUUUCGGAUAUCAUGCGCAAGAUUUUUUUUUCAUGUAGGCAAUCUAAAAUUAGUACAGUUUGGUUAAAGUAAAUUCUUUAUUCAGAAAAAAUGAUCUUAGUUUGAUAAAAUGCAGUGAAGAUUGAACUUUCACGAUGGCACAUUUUCCAUGUACGCAAGAUUAUGUUUGUAUGAUUUUCUUUGCAAUAUGACUCUUGAUUUUUGGUUGGAUUAUAUAAAUAUAAUUUUUCUUGUGGCUCGUUGGAUUUCUUAUAUUUUCAGGAUUUAUUGCUUUUUUCUUUUAAUGAUGCCAUCCACUUAUGGAUUACGAGCAUGCAAUGGAAUGCAUUUGCCUAACUGGUAGAUUGCGAUGUAAUUUGUGCAGUUGUGCAUCUGCUUGCUGUGUUUUAUUCAGUAGUAGUAUUUCUUUUUCUUAUAGAGAUUGUCUGAGCACAUCCUUGUACUUCUGGGCCAUCGUGAGCUAUAGUAUUUAUUGGCCAAAAAGUGAAUUAAUAAAGGGAGACGUUGGUUGUUUCUCUAUGUUUUUGGUACGAUAUCUAAUUAAAUUGAUUUCACCAGCGUGUGAUACAUGUUUUUAUUUUUCUCUUUUUUGUUUGCAUGACGAUUUCUUAUAGUGGUUACAAAAUUAUGUUGUAUUUUUCUUUUAAUGAUGCCGCUCACUUGUUGAAGUGAUAAAUCUAUUAAAGUUCUUAUUUGUAGUGGAAAUUGGGUCAGGAACAAGUAUUUGUUGAAGAAAAUAACUAGGAGUUAUUUGUUUGUCUAUACUUGUUGCAUUGUUGGUUGCACUUUUGUUGGACUUGUUAUUGAUUUUUAACUAGCCCUUUUUUCAUUGUGUAGGAGCCAUCUAAACAGAAGAUUAUAUUGAAAUAUUGAUUGGUGUCUAUUGGCUUUUGUUAUGUUGUAUUGUUCAAUUUUGAUUUAAUGCUACUCUAAUUAUGUUUUUGUUUCCUAGUCUGCCAUUAGGAGGACCGUUGUUUGGAAUUUAGGUCUCACUAUUUAAAGUAGUUAUUUGAAUUUAUUAACCUAUUAUAAAGGUUAGAUUUUGAUUUUAUGUUAAUAACAUGUAGGCUUUAAAGAGCCUAUUUAGGCUUUCAAGG